rnacentral:rRNA from 1 species
UACAGAGGCCUCAAGCGUUGUUCGGAUUCAUUGGGCGUAAAGGGUGUGUAGGUGGCGCCGUAAGUCGGGUGUGAAAUUUCGGAGCUUAACUCCGAAACUGCAUUCGAUACUGCGGUGCUUGAGGACUGGAGAGGAGACUGGAAUUCAUGGUGUAGCAGUGAAAUGCGUAGAGAUCAUGAGGAAGACCAGUGGCGAAGGCGGGUCUCUGGACAGUUCCUGACACUGAGGCACGAAGGCCAGGGGAGCAAACGGG